rnacentral:rRNA from 1 species
UACGUAGGGUGCAAGCGUUGUCCGGAAUUAUUGGGCGUAAAGAGCUCGUAGGCGGUCUGUCGCGUCGGCUGUGAAAACCCGAGGCUCAACCUCGGGCCUGCAGUCGAUACGGGCAAACUGGAGUGUUGCAGGGGAGACUGGAAUUCCUGGUGUAGCGGUGAAAUGCGCAGAUAUCAGGAGGAACACCGGUGGCGAAGGCGGGUCUCUGGGCCGUAACUGACGCUGAGGAGCGAAAGCGUGGGGAGCGAACAGG